rnacentral:rRNA from 1 species
GACGAACGCUGGCGGCGCGCUUAACACAUGCAAGUCGAACGGAAAGGCCUGCUUUCCCUUGUGGAUUGCGGGUACUCGAGUGGCGAACGGGUGAGUAACACGUGAGUGAUCUGCCCCCAACUUGGGUAUAAGCCUGGGAAACUGGGUCUAAUUCCCGAUAGGACUGCAGGGUGGUGCCUGUGGUGGAAAACGAUUUUCUAGUGGUUGGGGAUGAGCUCGCGGCCUAUCAGCUUGUUGGUGGGGUAAUGGCCUACCAAGGCGGCGACGGGUAGCCGGCCUGAGAGGGUGGACGGCCACAUUGGGACUGAGAUACGGCCCAGACUCCUACGGGAGGCAGCAGUGGGGAAGAGUGCACCAUGGGCGGAAGCCUGAUGCAGCGACGCCGCGUGGGGGAUGACGGCCUUCGGGUUGUAAACUCCUUUCGACCGCGAGGAAGCCACCUGGUUGGAAGGGUGGUGACGGUAGUGGUAGAAGAAGCACCGGCUAACUACGUG